CUUGCCGAGGACUUUGUCCACCAAGUGAUGAAAGCAUGCAAAUGCCUCCGAAUCAAAGAUGAGGAAAACAAAAGCUCAGAAACUAUCUUGGAGUCAGCAAGUAAGAAGGAGCUUAGAAAGGCUUAACAUUUUCCAUGCUUCUGCCUGGCUUCAGAGCCCAUGCACUCUGCCUUACCACGGCAGGUGAAAGAUGGCCCCAAAUUCUUAGGUACAUCUCCUGCCAAAAGACCCCUCCUAUGGGUUCUGUGACUACUUCAAUGAAAAGAAUAGGGCAGAAGAGAUGAUGAGAACUUAACAUCUGGCAGUGUCCAUUUCCUGUCUUUUGAAACUUUCUGUUAAAGGCCUGAGCCACGUAUGAAGUGUGAAUCUUCACACCAUGCAAGAGAAGCCACAUGUUAUUGCUCUGGUCAACAAUCCCAGCUGACCCAACCAGAUAGUGUAUCAGGCAUAUGAGUAAAGCAUUCUUAGAUUCUUCAGUCCAGCCCUUCACCAGCAGAACACCAUUCAGCAACCCUUGUCGGCAUCAUGUGGGACAGAAGAACCACCCAGCUGAGCCUUAUCCAAAUUCCUGACCACAAAAUCAUAAGAGAGAAUGACUUCUUUCAUAUCGCUGAAUGGAGCAACAUGUUUGGCCAAGUUCCUGUCCCAGGGAGGAGAACCUUCAGCUUGCAACAAGUCCUGGCCGUUGGAGAAACCAUGAGACUAGACCUUGUGUAAAGCAGCUGAUUCUGCCAUGGGGGAAAUGCCCUUUUGUUUACUGAGCUUCUCCCACCCAUGCCUUGCUCCACUUUCCUCUAGAAGCCUGAGAUAUUGGGAAUAAGAGUCUCAGCCUCCAAGAGAUGGAGAACAUAUCAAGAGAGUCUGGAUUUCUGGGGUGAUUAAGUUCACUUGAUUCAUUAGCCUAAGUGCUCAAGUAAAUUUCAAAUCACAGUGUUAUGUGUGAUUGUCCACGUCCUUCCUCCAAACACUCCCCACCUCCCACCCAAGGGCCCAUGUAACUUGCUAUUGAGAACCUUUGAUUUCUUAGGUAUUUGGGUGAUAGGGUUUUGUUGCCUCUCCUGAAGAAAAUAGUGGCAAUUUGUACUCAGCUGUGGAAUAAAGGAAAUCAUGACAU
rnacentral:lncRNA from 1 species